UACAGAGGGGGCAAGCGUUGUUCGGAAUUACUGGGCGUAAAGGGCGCGUAGGCGGCCGCCUAAGUCAGACGUGAAAUCCCUCGGCUCAACCGGGGAACUGCGUCUGAUACUGGGUGGCUUGAAUCCGGGAGAGGGAUGCGGAAUUCCAGGUGUAGCGGUGAAAUGCGUAGAUAUCUGGAGGAACACCGGUGGCGAAGGCGGCAUCCUGGACCGGCAUUGACGCUGAGGCGCGAAAGCGUGGGGAUCAAACAGG
rnacentral:rRNA from 1 species